GCCCUUGGCAGAGGGUGGAACAAAAUGAGCUUUAAGGUCUUUUCCAGCCCAAACCAUUCUGGGAUUUUUGCUCAUGCUUGUCCAUCCUCCCUGAGCCCAACCAGUACAAUCUGGUUAGGAAUUCAACGUGCCAAGGCAGGUGAUGGAAGGAUUCUGGAAGGAAAGUGAAAAAUGGCAUAAAUGAGCUGCAACAACAGCCCUGCUCUGGCAAGGAGUACAAGGAGCUGGAGUAAUCCUAAAUGACAAAGGCUUUGUUUUCAUAUAAACCACUAAAACAUCGUGGAAAGAGUCUCA